rnacentral:rRNA from 1 species
CGAGAUGCGGAGGGAUUUAUCUUUCCAAGUCGAGUGGCGAACGGGUGAGUAACGCGUGAGGAACCUGCCUCAAAGAGGGGGACAACAGUUGGAAACGACUGCUAAUACCGCAUAAGCCCACGGGACCGCAUGGUCUUGAGGGAAAAGGAGCAAUCCGCUUUGAGAUGGCCUCGCGUCCGAUUAGCUGGUUGGUGAGGUAACGGCCCACCAAGGCGACGAUCGGUAGCCGGACUGAGAGGUUGAACGGCCACAUUGGGACUGAGACACGGCCCAGACUCCUACGGGAGGCAGCAGUGGGGAAUAUUGCACAAUGGGGGAAACCCUGAUGCAGCGACGCCGCGUGGAGGAAGAAGGUCUUCGGAUUGUAAACUCCUGUUGUUGGGGACGAUAAUGACGGUACCCAACAAGAAAGUGACGGCUAACUACGUGCCAGCAGCCGCGGUAAAACGUAGGUCACAAGCGUUGUCCGG